GGCGGUGUAGCACAGUGGGUCAGGAACUGGGCUUGCAACCGAAGGGUCAUGGGUUCGAUUCCUGAUUAGGCCA
rnacentral:tRNA from 1 species